ACGAACGCUGGCGGCACGCUUAACACAUGCAAGUCGAACGAGAGAAGAGAAGCUUGCUUUUCUGAUCUAGUGGCGGACGGGUGAGUAACACGUGAGCAAUCUGCCUUUCAGAGGGGGAUACCGAUUGGAAACGAUCGUUAAUACCGCAUAACAUAAUUGAACCGCAUGAUUUGAUUAUCAAAGAUUUAUCGCUGAAAGAUGAGCUCGCGUCUGAUUAGCUAGUUGGUAAGGUAACGGCUUACCAAGGCGACGAUCAGUAGCCGGACUGAGAGGUUGAUCGGCCACAUUGGGACUGAGACACGGCCCAGACUCCUACGGGAGGCAGCAGUGGGGAAUAUUGCACAAUGGAGGAAACUCUGAUGCAGCGAUGCCGCGUGAGGGAAGAAGGUUUUAGGAUUGUAAACCUCUGUCUUCAGGGACGAAAAAAGACGGUACCUGAGGAGGAAGCUCCGGCUAACUACGUGCCAGCAGCCGCGGUAAUACGUAGGGAGCGAGCGUUGUCCGGAAUUACUGGGUGUAAAGGGAGCGUAGGCGGGAUCGCAAGUCAGAUGUGAAAACUAUGGGCUUAACCCAUAAACUGCAUUUGAAACUGUGGUUCUUGAGUGAAGUAGAGGUAAGCGGAAUUCCUAGUGUAGCGGUGAAAUGCGUAGAUAUUAGGAGGAACAUCAGUGGCGAAGGCGGCUUACUGGGCUUUAACUGACGCUGAGGCUCGAAAGCGUGGGGAGCAAACAGGAUUAGAUACCCUGGUAGUCCACGCCGUAAACGAUGAUUACUAGGUGUGGGGGGACUGACCCCUUCCGUGCCGCAGCAAACGCAAUAAGUAAUCCACCUGGGGAGUACGACCGCAAGGUUGAAACUCAAAGGAAUUGACGGGGGCCCGCACAAGCAGUGGAGUAUGUGGAUUAAUUCGAAGCAACGCGAAGAACCUUACCAGGUCUUGACAUCGUAUGCAUAGCUCAGAGAUGAGUGAAAUCUCUUCGGAGACAUAUAGACAGGUGGUGCAUGGUUGUCGUCAGCUCGUGUCGUGAGAUGUUGGGUUAAGUCCCGCAACGAGCGCAACCCUUACGGUUAGUUGAUACGCAAGAUCACUCUAGCCGGACUGCCGUUGACAAAACGGAGGAAGGUGGGGACGACGUCAAAUCAUCAUGCCCCUUAUGACCUGGGCCUCACACGUACUACAAUGGCUGUCAACAGAGGGAAGCAAAGCCGCGAGGUGGAGCAAACCCCUAAAAGCAGUCUUAGUUCGGAUUGUAGGCUGCAACCCGCCUACAUGAAGUCGGAAUUGCUAGUAAUCGCAGAUCAGCAUGCUGCGGUGAAUACGUUCCCGGGCCUUGUACACACCGCCCGUCACGCCAUGGGAGUCGGUAACACCCGAAGCCUGUAGUCUAACCGCAAGGAGGACGCAGUCGAAGGUGGGAUUGAUGACUGGGGUG
rnacentral:rRNA from 1 species